UGAGGCCUCUAACAUGACUUCAGCGGGCAUCGCAACACAGGAGAGCAGCGACCAAGCUGACACUGGAGAGGGCUCCCAUUAUGCUUUUCGAUCACUCGACUUCUAUUCGCCUCGUCUCUGUAAAGGAAUUACAAGCCUGGAAGUGGGACUACCGUUAAGGAAAGCGAGGAGGUCGUUUUCUAUCUUGUACGGAAAGGGUUGACCAACAAGAAGCUGCCAAAACUCCCUCCUCACUUACGACUUCGUUUCUCUUGCUAGAACUGAAGUUAAGAAUACCCACUAGCACUUUAUAGUGUUAAAACUACGACGACUGUUUACAAGUCACAGCUCACCCUAAUGUUCUCUGUCGCAGGUAAAGUUCUCGAGAGGAGCAGGACUUCUCUGACAUACGAGAUGCUGGCUGGCUCUCGCCACUAUUCUUCGUCUCCGCCUGUACCAGAAUGUAAUUGCUUCAGGUGUGAUCCUUGAAGGAGAAGUAGGUUACACGUCACAGAAGAGGGUACACUUUCAUACAAAAGAAUGGUAAGCAUUCACCUAUCAAGUCCACCAUCAAGCGGCUGUAGGACAAGCGCCACAACACAGGAAACAUGGCAGAUGCAGGAAAAGUGCUCAGUCAAAUGUGCUAAACACCAGAAAAAUUGAUCUCACGCUUGUUGCACAUUCUCUGAGUCCUAUGAGGGAUUGUGACAUCUUUCUAGUCAGGCUGGUCUUUAUGGUGUUAAUAUACAAAUGACGUUGGCAGGAAUGUUGAGUGCAUCUGUACAUAAUUCGAGCUGCUUAAUAAGCUGUUUUCGUGUUAUAGCUUGCGUGUUAUGAAAGCAUGCCAUUUGCUGCAUUGAAAAAUGAUCAAAAACGCGUUGUUAUUG